UGCUAAUACAUGCAAGUCGAGCGGACAGAUGGUUAGCUUGCUCCCUGAUGUUAGCGGCGGACGGGUGAGUAACACGUGGGUAACCUGCCUGUAAGACUGGGAUAACUCCGGGAAACCGGGGCUAAUACCGGAUGGUUGUUUGAACCGCAUGGUUCAAACAUAAAAGGUGGCUUCGGCUACCACUUACAGAUGGACCCGCGGCUCAUUAGCUAGUUGGUGAGGUAACGGCUCACCAAGGCAACGAUGCGUAGCCGACCUGAGAGGGUGAUCGGCCACACUGGGACUGACACACCGCCCACACUCCUACGGGAGGCAGCAGUAGGGAAUCUUCCGCAAUGGACGAAAGUCUGACGGAGCAACGCCGCGUGAGUGAUGAAGGUUUUCGGAUCGUAUAGCUCUGUUGUUAGGGAAGAACAAGUACCGUUCGAAUAGGGCGGUACCUUGACGGUACCUAACCAGAAAGCCACGGCUAACUACGUGCCAGCAGCCGCGGUAAUACGUAGGUGGCAAGCGUUGUCCGGAAUUAUUGGGCGUAGAGGGCUCGCAGGUUGUUUCUUAAGUCUGAUGUGAAACCCCCCGGCUCAACCGGGGAGGGUCAUUGGAAACUGGAGAACUUGAGUGCAGAAGAGGAGAGUGGAAUUCCACGUGUAGCGGUGAAAUGCGUAGAGAUGUGGAGGAAC
rnacentral:rRNA from 1 species